rnacentral:rRNA from 1 species
UACGUAGGGGGCGAGCGUUGUCCGGAUUUACUGGGCGUAAAGUGCGCGUAGGCGGAACUUCAAGUCCGGUCUGAAAGCCCCCGGCUCAACCGGGGAGGGUGGCUGGAAACUGGGGUUCUUGAGGGCGAGAGAGGAGGGUGGAAUUCCUGGUGUAGCGGUGAAAUGCGUAGAGAUCAGGAGGAACACCCGGGGCGAAGGCGGCCCUCUGGCUCGACCCUGACGCUGAGGCGCGAAAGCGUGGGGAGCGAACGGG